CCAUGCAAGCGGGUUGCAGUGUAGUAUCCUGCUGCCCAGAAGGAAGAAGUAGGAGGCAAUCAGCCCUGAAAGGAAAGCAGUUUGUCUCUGCAGAGGAGAGAAUUCAUGCCCCUGUAUUUUUCAGUGGGACACCUUGUAUUUUACGUGCUGUUCUCACUCCCCCAUGUAGGCUGUGCAUUCUGAGAGUGGUGUUACCUUUGCAGAUGCUGACUAGAAUGAAGACCAUAAUUCUGCUUUGCCUUUAUGCAGGAAAACAAGUUAUUAUGAUUGAAGAUUGAAGCAGUCAUUCACAAAAAAACUCAUUCACCUUCUUAUAAGUGUAGUAUUUUGCAAUAAACACAAGAUCUACUAAAAAAAAAAAAUCAUCAUUAAUGAAGAAUUGCAGCUUUUACUAAUGGAAAAAAGAAAACUAUAGUCAUCUGAUGAAAACCACCUCUCAUGGAAAGCUGAUUUAUGAUCAUUUUGAAGAGUCCAAGAGAAAAAAUGCAAAAUAGUAGGACAAGAAAUCCUAAAAUGUUUUCAUGAUGGAAUUUUUUAAAGCCAGUUUUGCCACAAGAACAGGAUAUGACUGUCUCCAAAAUAAAGCUUUUUGAUAUUGUCAGAGU